UUUAUUGCUACAAUUGUCUGGUUGAGGAUA
rnacentral:piRNA from 1 species